CGUGUAGGCGGGCUGGAAAGUCAGGUGUUAAAUACUAUGGCUCAACCAUAGAGUGUCAUCUGAAACUCCCAGCCUUGAGUGCAGAAGAGGGUGGUAGAGUUCCCGGUGUAGCGGUGAAAUGCGUAGAUAUCGGGAGGAAUACCGGAGGCGAAGGCGGCCACCUGGUCUGAUACUGACGCUGAGGCGCGAAAGCGUGGGCAGCAAACA
rnacentral:rRNA from 1 species